AAUUUUUUUUUGAAACGGGAAACUUUAUUGAUUCAAAGAACGAUACAUUGAGGUGAUACAUCGUCUUGAAAAUUUCUCGGCCUCUGCUGGAAGGGCACACAACCAACAAAAGUUUGACAAGAAUCCUGACACACUAAUGAUUAUUAAUCCUAAGACUAGACCGCCACCUGUGUGCCCGGGCCAAAAAAAAUCCUUAGCCACCUGUGCCAAAAAAUAAGACGCCGCUACAAGAAUAUCCUGCGAAGUAUGCCGCUAAAGGAUAGCCCAUGUAUGGAGCCAGUGCAUAGUCAAGAAGAUAACCUGCAAAAAGGAAAAUUAUUUGUUAUAAAAACCCAUUGUGUUUCUGCAUAGCCAAACAGACCAACACAAGGCUGCCGCGUCCACAAGGACUAGUGGUUUAAAUUUUUUGGUAAUCCAUUUAGCCAGCUCCCAAACAUAUUGAACACGUUGUGAGGUUUGAGUAUGCCCCAGGCCGCAUAUACCGAAGCUCAUACCAUUUGCGUGAAUCGGCAGUAAAAAAACAGAUGUUGUAUUGUUUCAUUUUCAUGACAGAAGCAGCACCGUUGGUUUCCUUGCUAGUUCCGUUUAGCUAGGUUAUCUUUUAUAAGAAUGACACCUCACCUAAGAUAUCACAAAAAAAAAUUAUCUUGAGUGAGGUUCUCAGUUUCCAAAUUCUCCUGUUUAUGUUAGGAAUAUCUUGAUGGAUGUGAUUUUACUGUAAAAACACAUGUCUGGUCUAAAUUUCAUUUGAAAUCAUCUCUCUUGGCUUAUGUGAGGCAAGAUUGUUCCAUAUCGCCAACUUGUUGCCAAUAAGAUCUCUGCGCCAAGUUAGGUUUGAAAUCUGUGUACGUAGUACCACCAUAUCUUGUUUUUCCUAACUAUAUUAUAUAGUUGAGGGUAUUGGUCUCGUAGAGAUCUAUUGUCUAACAAUAUGUCUUCUCAAAAUCUUACUUGAGACCCAUCCUUUAUUAUGAAGGUUCAAAUUUUAGAAAGUCUCGUUUGACCUUCAUUAAACUUGCCCAAAAAUGUGAAUCUCCCCUCUUCCUUUGAACUUGUGAUAGUGGUUUAGUCCCUAGAUAUUUAUUGCGUAUGAUCUGCUGCCAUGUACCAUCAUAUAAAUUAUCUGACUCUGAACAUAUAGGGGGAACGCAGACUUAGCUAAAUCCGCAAAGAGACGCUUAUAUACACUUGAAACCAGCUCUGAUAAGGUAGACCUUCUUGAAGAGCUAGCUGAUCCUGAAGUUAUGGAAAACUCAUCUGACCCUAACAAGACUGAUAAUAUUAUUGGCAGUCCAUCGAAAAAGAUAGUUGGGCAACAGGACCAUGCAAGUCAUGAGAAGGCUACAUAUUCUAAAGGAACCAGAUCAACCAAGAACUAAUUUCAGGCAUUCGAUGUCUUCCUAUCCAUCUUUGUUGGUCCACAACUUCAUGUGUCCUUCGAACCUGCUGGCUAUGGAGAGACAACAGAGAUAAUACCCUUGUUAUUAUAUGCACUACGAACUUCUAUAAAAACGCUGUAAUGAAACUUUUAUCGUCCGCCUAUCACAAAACUAUGUAUUAGAACCGUUGUCUACGUACUACUUAUACU